AGCCCCAGGCACGGGCAGGGAGGAGGCUGGGGGGGGGGGGGGUGCAGAAACGCCGCUUCUGCGUAGGGAAUGCAGGACAGGAACAGACCUGGGGGGCAAACCAAGUACCGGUUUAAACAGGAGGUUUAUGUUUCCCGAAGCACGGAGCGCUCUGGAAGCAGGAUGGCCGCUCGUCCGUGUGGUCAUGGAGCCAGUCCCCUUGCUUGUCCACUUUGCCGCCCUCAGCACCCUGGUCACAAGGUGGUGGCCUCGGCCACAGAGCUACAUGCCCGAGGUGGGAGGGGUGGGGGUGUGAGGUCUUCUCCUUUUAAAGGCCUCUUUUUAUCUGGCAGGGAAGAAGAGACUGCUGCAUGUAGGGCUAGGAGUCUCUCUGAGACGGAAGUGAAAGGGCCCCACCAAAACUGCCUCUGCUCUUGCUAGGACCCUCCCCCACACCUUACACACGCCUCCCGGAAGAGUGCAUAUCCUCCGGUGAAGGUCAAGGGGUCAGUGACCUCUUCCAGCACAGCAGUCAGCGCCUAAGGAGUGACAGGGCAGGCUCACGUUUUCCAAGACCACUGUCUCCCCCAGACCCCAGGCCAAAGUGAGACUCACUCUCCUCUCCUUCCCGAGUCUCCUGGAUGCUCUGUUCCUGUCUACUCUCUCUGUCUCUAAUGAGCUCUGUUCUCACUUCCUCUCGGCUCAAGUUUGAGCCCUGCGGCAUGAAGCCGCGACCCUCUGGGCCGCUCCUGUGGGGCCCCCCUUCUGUGUCCUGGAACCCAGUCGGUGUGGGUGGGGGGAGGUCCCUGCUCUCAGCUCCCCAGCCUCGGGGCCCCCAGUGUGGACAGGCCCGUGCAGGUCGGCAGGAGAGCAUUCGCCGGACAGGCCCAUCAACCUCCUUUCCACCGCUGGCCGGAAGCUUUCACCGUGACAUAGUUGGUACAAGGGCAGGACCUUAGGUGCUUUUAUCUCAAAAGUGUUCCUUUUACACAGUUUUUUUCUGAUUGCGGAAGGACUAGAGGAUCAGCGCAGAAAACGUGGAGAAGCACAGAGGUGACAGCGGGCCCAGCCGGCCCCUUCCCCACAGCUCGGCAGGUUUUAUGGCGAAUGUCUUUGUGAGGCUGCGGUUUAAUGCCCGUGUUACGGCCGGCUCGGAACCCCUUGCGUUUGUGUAACAUUUUAUGACCUUCCAGUGUGUUCGGCUGCGUAUUUUA